rnacentral:snoRNA from 1 species
CCUCCUACAAUCGGGUCAUGCCCACCAUCGUGCACGGC